rfam:Glycine max cultivar Williams 82 chromosome 19, whole genome shotgun sequence.
AAGUGCAAUCAUACUAGUAUUAACACACAAAUCUCAUCAAAAUUCUGCAGUCAAGCAUGUUUGUAAAACUAGUAUUAAGAUAAAUUAUUUCUUGAUAAGUGUUUGUGUUGCACCUC